rnacentral:rRNA from 1 species
CCUACGGGAGGCAGCAGUGAGGAAUAUUGGUCAAUGGACGAGAGUCUGAACCAGCCAAGUAGCGUGAAGGAUGACUGCCCUAUGGGUUGUAAACUUCUUUUAUAAAGGAAUAAAACGAGGCACGUGUGCCUUUUUGCAUGUACUUUAUGAAUAAGGAUCGGCUAACUCCGUGCCAGCAGCCGCGGUAAUACGGAGGAUCCGAGCGUUAUCCGGAUUUAUUGGGUUUAAAGGGAGCGUAGAUGGGUUGUUAAGUCAGUUGCGAAAGUUUGCGGCUCAACCGUAAAAUUGCAAUUGAUACUGGCAGCCUUGAGUACAGUUGAGGUAGGCGGAAUUCGUGGUGUAGCGGUGAAAUGCUUAGAUAUCACGAAGAACUCCGAUUGCGAAGGCAGCUUACUAAACUGCCACUGACAUUGAUGCUCGAAAGUGUGGGUAUCAAACAGGAUUAGAUACCCGAGUAGUC